rnacentral:rRNA from 1 species
AUUGAACGCUGGCGGCAGGCCUAACACAUGCAAGUCGAGCGAGCGGCGGACGGGUGAGUAAUGUCUGGGAAACUGCCUGAUGGAGGGGGAUAACUACUGGAAACGGUAGCUAAUACCGCAUACCAUCAGAUGUGCCCAGAUGGGAUUAGCUAGUAGUUGGGGUAACGGCUCACCUAGGCGACGAUCCCUAGCUGGUCUGAGAGGAUGACCCGCCACACUGGAACUGAGACACGGUCCAGACGCCCACGGGACGCAGCAGGUGGGAAUAUGGCACAAGGGGCGCAAGCAUGAUGCAGCCAUGCCGCGUGUGUGAAGAAGGCCUUCGGGUUUUAAAGCACGUUCAGCGGGGAGGCGUUACCCGCAGAAGAAGCACCGGCUAACUCCGUGCCAGCAGCCGCGGUAAUAC